rnacentral:rRNA from 1 species
AGUGAACGCUGGCGGUAGGCCUAACACAUGCAAGUCGAACGGCAGCACAGUAAGGGCUUGCUCUUACGGGUGGCGAGUGGCGGACGGGUGAGGAAUACAUCGGAAUCUACUUUUUCGUGGGGGAUAACGUAGGGAAACUUACGCUAAUACCGCAUACGACCUACGGGUGAAAGCAGGGGAUCUUCGGACCUUGCGCGAUUGAAUGAGCCGAUGUCGGAUUAGCUAGUUGGCGGGGUAAAGGCCCACCAAGGCGACGAUCCGUAGCUGGUCCGAGAGGAUGAUCAGCCACACUGGAACUGAGACACGGUCCAGACUCCUACGGGAGGCAGCAGUGGGGAAUAUUGGACAAUGGGCGCAAGCCUGAUCCAGCCAUACCGCGUGGGUGAAGAAGGCCUUCGGGUUGUAAAGCCCUUUUGUUGGGAAAGAAAAGCAGCAGGUUAAUACCCCGCUGUUCUGACGGUACCCAAAGAAUAAGCACCGGCUAACUUCGUG